AAUGUCCUGCAACAUGAAGUUUCUUUGGCUGUUCUUCUUGUGAUACUUAAAGACCAGAUAUUUAAUCUCUUCUUUUUCUAACAAUAUGUUUGAAAUUAAUAAAUUAUUAUUUACUUUUGAUAUUUGUUUGUAGGAAGAAGAGGGGUAGUGAUGGCAAUACCUAUGCCUGGGCAUCCAAUUGCUAGACAAGAAGAGGAAAAAGUGGUUGAUGACUGCAAACGUCUUUCUGAUUUAAUUGAAUCUCCUGAUGCUGUUUUGUUGUUGACUGAUACACGUGAAAUUAGGUGGCUUCCAACUCUUUUAUGUGCCAAUGCUAAUAAGGUUACAAUUACGGGUGCAUUGGGGUUUGAUAGUUUCUUGGUAAUGCGCCAUGGUGCGGGCCCACUACUCAUCAGAAAUACAUCAUCAAAAGUUAAGACUGUUGUUGGUUCUUCUUUAUCUACUGGUGUUGAAGAAAUGUCACUGGGACAGAAAGAUAGCAAGCCGAGACUCGGUUGUUACCUGUUGUGAAGCUCUCGAUAUCUUCCGGUGUUAUGGUCUGCUUGGAAUUAUGGUACAAUGAUGUGCUGGUCUUGCUAGUAGGGUACAUGGCAAAUGCAGAAGUCGCGAUAUCCGCCUUCUCGAUAUGUGGAUCAAAUUAGAAAUCAGAAUGAGGUAAAUUCUGAAGUUGAUGACAUCAAGAACAGUUCAACAAGUGUUGAUUUAACUGUAAUCCGAAAUUUCCUAAGUCGUGAUUACAUAACCCUUAAGGUUUCUGAUUUGUUGCUCUUCUGUUGUAUUUUAUACUUUCUACCAUGUCCAUUUAAAAACCAACUCAUCCAACAUUUAUUUUUAUAUAACAUAUAAAAUCAAGUAAUAUGGGUGUUGGUUUGUGUUGUGCAGUUAUG